GGCUGGAUGGUGUAUAGGCAACACAUCUGCAUUGAAUAUCAAGCCAACUGUGCCACAGUUGUACUCUAUCUUCUGCAAAUGAGCCCUGUUCGAUUCGGGGUCCAGUCA